rnacentral:rRNA from 1 species
GACGAACGCUGGCGGCGUGCCUAAUACAUGCAAGUCGAGCGCAGGAAACUGACGGAACUCUUCGGAGGGAAGGCAGUGGAAUGAGCGGCGGACGGGUGAGUAACACGUAAGGAACCUGCCUCAAGGAUUGGGAUAACUCCGAGAAAUCGGAGCUAAUACCGGAUAGUUCAUCGGACCGCAUGGUCCGUUGAUGAAAGGCGCUCCGGCGUCACCUUGAGAUGGCCUUGCGGUGCAUUAGCUAGUUGGUGGGGUAACGGCCCACCAAGGCGACGAGGCAUAGCCGAUCUGAGAGGGUGAUCGGCAACACUGGGACGGCGACACGGCCCAGACCCCUACGGGAGGCAGCAGUAGGGAAUCUUCCACAAUGGACGAAAGUCUGAUGGAGCAACGCCGCGUGAGUGAUGAAGGUUUUCGGAUCGUAAAACUCUGUUGUAAGGGAAGAACACGUACGAGAGGGAAUGCUCGUACCUUGACGGUACCUUACGAGAAAGCCACGGCUAACUACGUGCCAGCAGCCGCGUAA